rnacentral:rRNA from 1 species
GAUCAUUACAAGUUGACCCCGGCCCUCGGGCCGGGAUGUUCACAACCCUUUGUUGUCCGACUCUGUUGCCUCCGGGGCGACCCUGCCUCCGGGCGGGGGCCCCGGGUGGACAUUUCAAACUCUUGCGUAACUUUGCAGUCUGAGUAAAUUUAAUUAAUAAAUUAAAACUUUCAACAACGGAUCUCUUGGUUCUGGCAUCGAUGAAGAACGCAGCGAAAUGCGAUAAGUAAUGUGAAUUGCAGAAUUCAGUGAAUCAUCGAAUCUUUGAACGCACAUUGCGCCCCCUGGUAUUCCGGGGGGCAUGCCUGUUCGAGCGUCAUUUCGCCGCUCAAGCCUCGCUUGGUAUUGGGCGACGCGGUCCGCCGCGCGCCUCAAAUCGACCGGCUGGGUCUUUCGUCCCCUCAGCGUUGUGGAAACUAUUCGCUAAAGGGUGCCGCGGGAGGCCACGCCGUAAAACAACCCCAUUUCUAAGGUUGACCUCGGAUCAGGUAGGGAUACCCGCUGAACUUAAGCAUAUCAAUAAGCGGAGGAAAGGGCGAAUU